rnacentral:rRNA from 1 species
AUUUACAUACCACCCUGAACGCGCCCGAUCUCGGAAGCUAAGCAGGGUCGGGCCUGGUCAGUACUUGGAUGGGAGACCGUCUGGGAAUACCAGGUGCUGUAAGCU